GAGGAUAUAGCUCAAGUGGGAGAGUGCAUGAUUAGCAUGCAUGAGAUCUUGGGUUCAAUCCCCAGUAUCUCCA
rnacentral:tRNA from 1 species